rnacentral:lncRNA from 1 species
CAGGAUGAAAAUCUGUGAAACAAAGCAUCAGGAAUCCAGAAGAAAGACUGAGCAGCAAUUGAUGUGGAUAAGUCCAAGGGUAAGGAGGGGCCUGCAGAGAGGGGUAGCUGACAAACCAGGAUGAACAGAGAAGUGGAGACGGAGAAUGCUGACCAUGUGGAAAUACCUGCUUAAUAAUAGUCAUGUCAUUAGCCCACAAAACAGCCCUGAACAUUUAUUAGAAAAACAAAGUAGAGUCAGCUCAUCCCCAGCUUGAGAUGCUGAGCAUCCAGUUGAACCCAGAAGAGAUUUUACAACCAACCUGAUACAGCCCUGAAAAUGCAGUUUUCCACUGGUAAUGCUGAGAAACCGUUGAGUAUAGAACCAGGCACUGCGGUGAUAAACAUCUGACAUUUUCAUUUGCAAGUAUUCAUGUUUCAUCUUAGAUAAUGUUCCCUCUAUUUACUUCUUCAGCAGCAAUGCAUCAAAUAUCCUACAGUGUAAU